UCAUGCUCGUUCUGAUCACGGUAAGAUUUGGCGUACUUUGUUUUGAAGAGUGAGAAAUGAUGGUCGGCGUUGAGGAGGUGGGUGGAUUGUCCGGGUUCGGGGACGACUUGCCGGAUUAUUGGGUCAUCAGCGGUGGCGGUGGCGGUGGCGGUGGCGGUGGCGGUGGAGAGAAGAAGAGAGAGGAGAGAGAUGGUUAGCAAGUAAUGCAUUGGGAAAGUGAGUUUAGAUUUGAAUAUCUGGUGCGUAGACUUUGUUUUUAUAUUGGGCUCUGUUUAGGUGGGUUUUGAUUCUUGGGUGGCGUAUGCAUUUACAUGGGG
rnacentral:lncRNA from 1 species